UACGUAGGGUGCGAGCGUUGUCCGGAAUUAUUGGGCGUAAAGGGCUCGUAGGCGGUUUGUCGCGUCGGGAGUGAAAUCAUCUGGCUUAACUGGGUGCUUGCUUUCGAUACGGGCAGACUAGAGGUAUGCAGGGGAAAACGGAAUUCCUGGUGUAGCGGUGAAAUGCGCAGAUAUCAGGAGGAACACCGGUGGCGAAGGCGGUUCCCUGGGCAUGAUCUGACGCUGAGGAGCGAAAGUGUGGGGAGCGAACAGG
rnacentral:rRNA from 1 species